rnacentral:misc_RNA from 1 species
UGGCAUUUCAAUGUCAAUGCUAUCCAGCACUCAGUGACUAUCUCUCAGUUCAUUGUAUAAUCAUACGCACACAAGCAUCUGACACGGCAAAACAUAAUCUCGUACGAAAAAGGCUCAUGAUCAUUCAAUGAAAAAGUGUAUUUAUCAUUAAGGGAAAACCCAUUAAAAAUAAGCAACUCGUAAUCAUCAUGAUCAUGGGCAUGAUAAUUGUGGAUGGAAG